rnacentral:rRNA from 1 species
AACGAACGCUGGCGGCAUGCCUAACACAUGCAAGUCGAACGAAGGCUUCGGCCUUAGUGGCGCACGGGUGCGUAACGCGUGGGAAUCUGCCCUUGGGUUCGGAAUAACUCAGAGAAAUUUGAGCUAAUACCGGAUGAUGACGUAAGUCCAAAGAUUUAUCGCCCAAGGAUGAGCCCGCGUAAGAUUAGCUAGUUGGUGGGUAAAGGCCUACCAAGGCGACGAUCUUUAGCUGGUCUGAGAGGAUGAUCAGCCACACUGGGACUGAGACACGGCCCAGACUCCUACGGGAGGCAGCAGUCGAGAAGCUUCGGCAAUGGGCGAAAGCCUGACCGAGCGACGCCGCGUGAGCGAAGAAGGCCCUAUGGGUUGUAAAGCUCUGUGGGGAGGGACGGAAUGGCGCCGUGAAGAGCGGCGAGUGACGGUACCUCCUUAGCGAGCACCGGCUAACUUCGUGCCAGCAGCCGCGGUAAAGUGUGACU